rnacentral:rRNA from 1 species
ACGUAGGGUGCAAGCGUUAAUCGGAAUUACUGGGCGUAAAGCGUGCGCAGGCGGUUAUGUAAGACAGGUGUGAAAUCCCCGGGCUUAACCUGGGAACUGCAUUUGUGACUGCAUAGCUAGAGUACGGUAGAGGGGGAUGGAAUUCCGCGUGUAGCAGUGAAAUGCGUAGAUAUCUGGAGGAACACCGGUGGCGAAGGCGGCUCACUGGACCAGUACUGACGCUGAGGCACGAAAGCGUGGGGAGCAAACAGGA